rnacentral:rRNA from 1 species
AUGAGUAUCCUAACAUGGAAUUGUCGUGGGGCUGGCAAACCCACGACAAUUCACGAGCUUCGUGACCUAACGAAGCAACAUGCCCCCUCUAUCGUUUGUAUCUUAGAAACUCAAAUAGAGGGCUCCCGUGUGGAGAAUUUAGUAGGUACUUUGGGUUUUGAUAAAAGUUAUGCAGUUAGCAGUUCUGGUAGGAGUGGAGGAAUU